AACGAACGCUGGCGGCAUGCCUAACACAUGCAGGUCGAACGGUAACAGGUCUUCGGAUGCUGACGAGUGGCGAACGGGUGAGUAAUACAUCGGAACGUGCCUAGUAGUGGGGGAUAACUACUCGAAAGAGUGGCUAAUACCGCAUGAGAUCUACGGAUGAAAGCAGGGGAUCGCAAGACCUUGUGCUACUAGAGCGGCCGAUGGCAGAUUAGGUAGUUGGUGGGAUAAAAGCUUACCAAGCCGACGAUCUGUAGCUGGUCUGAGAGGACGAUCAGCCACACUGGGACUGAGACACGGCCCAGACUCCUACGGGAGGCAGCAGUGGGGAAUUUUGGACAAUGGGCGCAAGCCUGAUCCAGCAAUGCCGCGUGCAGGAUGAAGGCCUUCGGGUUGUAAACUGCUUUUGUACGGAACGAAAAGCCCCGGGUUAAUACCCUGGGGUCAUGACGGUACCGUAAGAAUAAGCACCGGCUAACUACGUGCUAGCCGCCGCGGUAA
rnacentral:rRNA from 1 species